ACCAAAAAUUGCCUUUUUUGUUACACUCUCACUCUAUGGUAACCCAAACCCACAAAAGGGGAAUUGUCUCACUCUUGUUAAAAUUUAUUACCAUGGAGCAGUGAUUAUGAAUCACCAAAACUGGCAAAGCAGUCCAUGUUCCCUCCCCUUCUUUUUCUCCCUGCAAAAACUUGCUCUUUAGUCAAAAGCACCUUGGGACCCCCCAUUUCUCUUUUCAUAAUCUUCAUUUCCUCAUUUCACCAGCAUAAGGUCCAUAACCAAAAAUAAAUAGUAAACAAAUCAAUCAACACUCAAUUAAAAUUAAAAAAAUAUAUCAAACUCCACAUAUACUAAGCAGCAUUAUCAACCUCAUUCGAUUAUCCAACUGUAAAGCAACCUCACAUUGGAUACGCACUGCAAUAAACAAAAAAAAUGAAGAAACACUCCCAGACUUUUCUUCAUCAUCAAUUCUUGUGACCUUACAAACAAACUGUGAGACACCCCGGAAGCAGCAACAGCCAAAAAAACCAUGCCCUCAAGGCCUCUUUCUCCAAGCAACUACAACAAUCUUGCUAAGCCCAGCUUUGUCAAUAAAACAAGAGUCUUGUUUUUGAUUCUCACUAUAUCAUCCUCCGUAGUNNNN
rnacentral:lncRNA from 1 species